GUUGGGAGUAAAUAAGUCAGGGAAUUGUAAGUUCUUGAAGUGUAAAAAAAUGAUUUCUUUAAUUAAGAGUAAGCGUCCACUUUCUAAAAAGUAAAAGAUAAUUUUUUCUUUUACUUAGAUGACUUACCGUAAAUUGGAUAAAAAUGGUUCAUUUGAACCAAACAAGUAGUAAAAUACUUUUUGUCUUUAUGAUAUAUAUUUAUUGUUCUAAUUAAUAAUUCUUUUAUAUUUAUUAAAAUCUUAGUUUUAGUGACUAAUAUUAUUAAUUUAUCACUAACAAUUUUCAUCCAAAAUUUACCUUUUUCUUUAUUACAAAUGUAGGGGGAGGGGGAGUAUGCAGCUACCUGGGGUGGUCUCGGAUCGCUAAUCCAACGGCUGGAUCGGCCGGAAUCUAGCGGCAAAGUGGUGAAAAACCAUCUUUCUCUCUCUGUUUCAUGCGUUUCCGAUGGCUAUUGACAGUGAGGCUAGUCAGAAAAUACUUCUGGAUUGACGGUGGGUUGAUUGGCAGUGGUGGGAUGGCCGAAUGGAGGUCUAGAUUGCAAGAAAUGGGAGAGAGAAGUUUUGGCCUUUGCAUUUCUUUCUCCUCGCUCCUAGCUGCUGUGCUUCAGCUAAGCAGCACCACCGGAUGUUGUUGGUGCCGUAUGGAGUCUUGCCAGCCAGAGCAAGAAUGGCAAGGGAAGGGGAGGUAAUGGGAGAGGAGGAAGAAGAAGAAGUCAACAAUAACACAAAUUAGCUCAACUAAAGUUAUUUUAUUUAAGGCAGCUUGCGGACCAGAGACAUUUUAGUUCAAAAGUCUUCGAAUGUGAAAGAAAACAAGGGUUUUAAAUGGA
rnacentral:misc_RNA from 1 species